rnacentral:rRNA from 1 species
AGCAGCCGCGGUAAUUCCAGCUCCAAUAGCGUAUAUUAAAGUUGUUGCAGUUAAAAAGCUCGUAGUUGAACUUCUGUACGUGCCCGGUUCUGGCUUCGGUCAAGCUGUGGUGCGUGCAUCCGCUUGCAAACCUGGCCCGGCCUUUACUGGUCGACCAGGGGAGUAGGCCUUUUACUUUGAAAAAAU